rnacentral:rRNA from 1 species
UACGUAGGGUGCGAGCGUUGUCCGGAAUUAUUGGGCGUAAAGAGCUUGUAGGCGGUCUGUCGCGUCUGCUGUGAAAAUCCGGGGCUCAACCCCGGACUUGCAGUGGGUACGGGCAGACUAGAGUGUGGUAGGGGAGACUGGAAUUCCUGGUGUAGCGGUGAAAUGCGCAGAUAUCAGGAGGAACACCGGUGGCGAAGGCGGGUCUCUGGGCCGAUACUGACGCUGAGGAGCGAAAGCGUGGGGAGCGAACAGG